rnacentral:rRNA from 1 species
CUUUGACAUCCAGCGAACUUUCCAGAGAUGGAUUUGGUGCCUUCGGGAACGCUGAGACAGGUGCUGCAUGGCUGUCGUCAGCUCGUGUUGUGAAAUGUUGGGUUAAGUCCCGNAACGAGCGCAACCCUUAUCCUUUGUUGCCAGCGAUUCGGUCGGGAACUCAAAGGAGACUGCCGGUGAUAAACCGGAGGAAGGUGGGGAUGACGUCAAGUCAUCAUGGCCCUUACGAGUAGGGCUACACACGUGCUACAAUGGCGCAUACAAAGAGAAGCGACCUCGCGAGAGCAAGCGGACCUCAUAAAGUGCGUCGUAGUCCGGAUCGGAGUCUGCAACUCGACUCCGUGAAGUCGGAAUCGCUAGUAAUCGUGGAUCAGAAUGCCACGGUGAAUACGUUCCCGGGCCUUGUACACACCGCCCGUCACACCAUGGGAGUGGGUUGCAAAAGAAGUAGGUAGCUUAACCUUCGGGAGGGCGCUUACCACUUUGUGAUUCAUGACUGGGGUGAAGUCGUAACAAGGUAAGCGUAGCGAG